rnacentral:lncRNA from 1 species
CUUAGAACUGCAUUGGUCCAUGGUGGCUAUGCCACUACCAAUUCUUUUGGAGUAUGUCCUCUAGAAUCAGCAAUCCCAUCACCAAGGGGUCAUGCCCAAUAGCCAGGCAGGUCCAGCCAUUGGUUGGGAACUUUCUCGAGGAUCCCAAGCCUCAUUGUUGGUUUCUUUGUCUAGGUUCCAAAGCCUCAGUUGGGUUGCUUCAUCUUGGUUCCCGAGCGGUUUUAUUGUUGGUUGCUUCAUCUAGGUUCCAAAGCCUGUUCUAUUCAUUGCUUCAUUGUGGUUCCUAAGCUUGUUCUAGUACAAGUACAGUAUAAGUGCAUCAGAUAGGCAACACCACGCUGCCUGAUGUGCCGAGUAUAUAUGGUAGUUGGUUUUGUUAUUGUUCUUGAGUAUUGCUUUUCUUGUCUGCCUUUAUAAUAUGUAGUUGUGAAAUUGCACCAUCAUUUUGCCAUGAGAUCAUUGCAUCAUGGAAUUAAACUGUUCUUGAAUGCUUUGCAAUAGAGUUUCUGGUAAAUUAUACUGUCGCCUU